ACGAACGCUGGCGGCGCGCCUAACACAUGCAAGUCGAACGGAAUUAAGAGGAGCUUGCUUUUCUUGAUUUAGUGGCGAACGGGUGAGUAACGCGUGAGUAACCUGCCCUGGAGUGGGGGACAACAGUUGGAAACGACUGCUAAUACCGCAUAAGCCCACGGUACCGCAUGGCACUGAGGGAAAAGGAUUUAUUCGCUUCAGGAUGGACUCGCGUCCAAUUAGCUAGUUGGUGAGGUAACGGCCCACCAAGGCGACGAUUGGUAGCCGGACUGAGAGGUUGAACGGCCACAUUGGGACUGAGACACGGCCCAGACUCCUACGGGAGGCAGCAGUGGGGGAUAUUGCACAAUGGGGGAAACCCUGAUGCAGCGACGCCGCGUGGAGGAAGAAGGUUUUCGGAUUGUAAACUCCUGUCGUUAGGGACGAUAAUGACGGUACCUAACAAGAAAGCACCGGCUAACUACGUGCCAGCAGCCGCGGUAAAACGUAGGGUGCAAGCGUUGUCCGGAAUUACUGGGUGUAAAGGGAGCGCAGGCGGACCGGCAAGUUGGAAGUGAAAUCCAUGGGCUCAACCCGUGAAUUGCUUUCAAAACUGCUGGCCUUGAGUAGUGCAGAGGUAGGUGGAAUUCCCGGUGUAGCGGUGGAAUGCGUAGAUAUCGGGAGGAACACCAGUGGCGAAGGCGACCUACUGGGCACCAACUGACGCUGAGGCUCGAAAGCAUGGGUAGCAAACAGGAUUAGAUACCCUGGUAGUCCAUGCCGUAAACGAUGAUUACUAGGUGUUGGAGGAUUGACCCCUUCAGUGCCGCAGUUAACACAAUAAGUAAUCCACCUGGGGAGUACGACCGCAAGGUUGAAACUCAAAGGAAUUGACGGGGGCCCGCACAAGCAGUGGAGUAUGUGGUUUAAUUCGACGCAACGCGAAGAACCUUACCAAGUCUUGACAUCCCUCUGACCGUUCCUUAACCGGAACUUUCCUUCGGGACAGGGGAGACAGGUGGUGCAUGGUUGUCGUCAGCUCGUGUCGUGAGAUGUUGGGUUAAGUCCCGCAACGAGCGCAACCCUUAUUGCCAGUUACUACGUAAGAGGACUCUGGCGAGACUGCCGUUGACAAAACGGAGGAAGGUGGGGAUGACGUCAAAUCAUCAUGCCCUUUAUGACCUGGGCUACACACGUACUACAAUGGCGUUUAACAAAGAGAAGCAAGACCGCGAGGUGGAGCAAAACUCAGAAACAACGUCUCAGUUCAGAUUGCAGGCUGCAACUCGCCUGCAUGAAGUCGGAAUUGCUAGUAAUCGCGGAUCAGCAUGCCGCGGUGAAUACGUUCCCGGGCCUUGUACACACCGCCCGUCACACCAUGAGAGCCGGGGGGACCCGAAGUCGGUAGUCUAACCGCGAGGAGGACGCCGCCGAAGGUAAAACUGGUGAUUGGGGUG
rnacentral:rRNA from 1 species